GCCGGGUGCAGUGGCGCAUACCUGUAAUCCCAGGCUCAGGAGGCUGAGGCAGGAGGAUCAGGAGUUCAAAGCCAGUCUCAGCAAAAGUGAGGUGCUAAGCAACUCAGUGAGACCCUGUCUCUA
rnacentral:sRNA from 1 species